UUAACCUAGCAAAUGGGUAGAGCUGGGCUUGGCAAAUUGCAGUUUGAUAUUUACAUAAGCAACAAACUAUCCUGCCUCCCAAAAUGUGUGACUCUGAUUCUUUAAAGGGUGGAAUGAGCAGAUAGGCAGGAGAUACAGUUGUAUCCCUUUGUUAGUGUAAGGCUUUGUUAGUGAUCAAUCUUCCCUCACUUUCUACUUUAUACCUAUAGUCACAGUAUUAUUAUCUCCUGCAUAUGCCAUACUCUCCUACCCCAUUUGGUUAAUUUCAUUAGUGUUUAUAAUGAUUUCACAGCACAGGUUGCAUAUAUUGGGAAAAUGUAUGCACUUAGUUGUCACUGGGCAAGAAACUUAGCUGAUGGAGGUAAGAUGAUGAAGUGUCAGAAGAAAAGGAAGUGGACUAAUAUGAAAAGAAAGAUUUCCUACCUAGGAAACAGGAGAUCAAAGGAUAGAACAAGAACCAGAGGUACGUUCUUAAAUAAGCAGAACAGGUAUGAAGCAUUGGGAGAUAUACCUAAUGCUACAUGACGAGUUAGUGGGUGCAGCACACCAGCAUGGCACAUGUAUACGUAUGUAACUAACCUGCACAAUGUGCACAUGUACCCUAAAACUUAAAGUAUAAUAAUAAAAAAUAAAUAAAUAAAUUAAAAAAAACACAUCACAUAGACAUGGAGUUUGAGGAGAAGAUUUGUUCUAUUCAAUAUUAAGUUAGGCUUCCUUCCUGUAUUCAUCAAAUUGAACUGGAUGGAAUACGAGUCCCUAAUCCAACACCUCCAACUGGAGAAAUAGUCUGCUGAUUCUCACAGAUCUCAUGUCCUGCUUAGUGUAGAUAAUUUUCAUAUGGAUUAUAAUGAAUAAUAUGAAUUUAAACAAUUCACUAGAAGCCUAAAACAUUUUGUUUGAAGCUCUUCUUUGUCCAGUUAAAAAUAACUUCUGGUCUACAAGGCUACCAUCAUAAUUGAGUUCUACAUCUCCAGUCACAAGUAGAACCAAAAUUACAGUCAACGUACAAUAAUUCUUUAUCUCUUGGUUCCAGAUUGUUCUCAAUUAUUUAUAUCUCUCUAUUAUGGUCUCAUAUUCCUUUCUGUUACAGAGUUUCAGUCUAUGUUGAGUCAAGCAAUUUUAGGGCUGCUUAAACUCUGGUUCAUUAGCCAUGGUCCACUAGCAUCCAUGUCAUGGCACUAGGGUUUAAUAUGGUUAAUAGGAUCCUGGAUGAGGAAGUAUAUUGAAAAUUAAACUUUAAAUUAAACAUAAAACACUAAAAAUUAUUAGAAGCAUUAAAAAAUAAAUGUUUCCAUAUAUGGGUUAGAAAAUCUGACUUUAUUUUGAUCCUAGGGGCUGCUGGCUGUAGUGAAAUGUAUAAAAAGGAGAGUGUGAUCCUAGUUUCUGUCUCUAACUAUGAGUUACUUGUGAUUAACUUCAAAUAUUCUCUCCAUAAGAAGAGGCCCAGAAGAAGAAGAUGAGCUUCAGUUAUUCUAGCACAACUGCUGUGAUAUUUGUAAAUAUUCAAAACCUAUAAUAAAAUGUAUAAAAGGAAACUCCAUUUGAAAUGAUUUGAAAUCUCACAUGGAAAUCUAUUUUUUUUAAAUCAGAGCUUAGUAAGAGAAAAUAACAGAACAUUGUAAUAAUUGAAUUACAAAAACAACUGAAUUUUGGAAAAUUUAUUUUCUCUCAUGUG
rnacentral:lncRNA from 1 species